CAGUCGCCGCGGGAAUACAGAGGGUGCGAGCGUUAAUCGGAUUUACUGGGCGUAAGCGUGCGUAGGCGGCUUUUUAAGUCGGAUGUGAAAUCCCUGAGCUUAACUUAGGAAUUGCAUUCGAUACUGGGAAGCUAGAGUAUGGGAGAGGAUGGUAGAAUUCCAGGUGUAGCGGUGAAAUGCGUAGAGAUCUGGAGGAAUACCGAUGGCGAAGGCAGCCAUCUGGCCUAAUACUGACGCUGAGGUACGAAAGCAUGGGGAGCAAACAGGAUUAGAUACCCCGGUAGUCCCUGUCUCUUAUACA
rnacentral:rRNA from 1 species